CCUACGGGUGGCAGCAGUGAGGAAUAUUGGUCAAUGGACGAGAGUCUGAACCAGCCAAGUAGCGUGAAGGAUGACUGCCCUAUGGGUUGUAAACUUCUUUUAUAAAGGAAUAAAACGAGGCACGUGUGCCUCUUUGCAUGUACUCUACGAAUAAGGAUCGGCCAACCCCGUGCCAGCAGCCGCGGCAAUACGGAGGAGCCGAGCGUUAUCCGGAUUCAUUGGGUUUAAAGGGAGCGUAGAUGGGUUGUUAAGUCGGUUGUGAAAGUUUGCGGCUCAACCGUAAAAUUGCAAUUGAUACUGGCAGUCUUGAGUACAGUUGAGGUAGGCGGAAUUCGUGGUGUAGCAGUGAAAUGCUUAGAUAUCACGAAGAACCCCGAUUGCGAAGGCAGCUUACUAAACUGUAACUGACAUUGAUGCUCGAAGGUGUGGGUAUCGAACGGGAUUAGAUACCCCAGUAGUC
rnacentral:rRNA from 1 species